rnacentral:rRNA from 1 species
GGAGAUUAGAGUUUGAUCCUGGCUCAGGAUGAACGCUGGCGGCGUGCCUAAUACAUGCAAGUCGAGCGAACAGAUAAGGAGCUUGCUCCUUUGACGUUAGCGGCGGACGGGUGAGUAACACGUGGGUAACCUACCUAUAAGACUGGGAUAACUUCGGGAAACCGGAGCUAAUACCGGAUAAUAUUUCGAACCGCAUGGUUCGAUAGUGAAAGAUGGUUUUGCUAUCACUUAUAGAUGGACCCGCGCCGUAUUAGCUAGUUGGUAAGGUAACGGCUUACCAAGGCGACGAUACGUAGCCGACCUGAGAGGGUGAUCGGCCACACUGGAACUGAGACACGGUCCAGACUCCUACGGGAGGCAGCAGUAGGGAAUCUUCCGCAAUGGGCGAAAGCCUGACGGAGCAACGCCGCGUGAGUGAUGAAGGUCUUCGGAUCGUAAAACUCUGUUAUUAGGGAAGAACAUACGUGUAAGUAACUAUGCACGUCUUGACGGUACCUAAUCAGAAAGCCACGGCUAACUACGUGCCAGCAGCCGCGGUAAUACGUAGGUGGCAAGCGUUAUCCGGAAUUAUUGGGCGUAAAGCGCGCGUAGGCGGUUUUUUAAGUCUGAUGUGAAAGCCCACGGCUCAACCGUGGAGGGUCAUUGGAAACUGGAAAACUUGAGUGCAGAAGAGGAAAGUGGAAUUCCAUGUGUAGCGGUGAAAUGCGCAGAGAUAUGGAGGAACACCAGUGGCGAAGGCGACUUUCUGGUCUGUAACUGACGCUGAUGUGCGAAAGCGUGGGGAUCAAACAGGAUUAGAUACCCUGGUAGUCCACGCCGUAAACGAUGAGUGCUAAGUGUUAGGGGGUUUCCGCCCCUUAGUGCUGCAGCUAACGCAUUAAGCACUCCGCCUGGGGAGUACGACCGCAAGGUUGAAACUCAAGGGAAUUGACGGGGACCCGCACAAGCGGUGGAGCAUGUGGUUUAAUUCGAAGCAACGCGAAGAACCUUACCAAAUCUUGACAUCCUUUGACAACUCUAGAGAUAGAGCCUUCCCCUUCGGGGGACAAAGUGACAGGUGGUGCAUGGUUGUCGUCAGCUCGUGUCGUGAGAUGUUGGGUUAAGUCCCGCAACGAGCGCAACCCUUAAGCUUAGUUGCCAUCAUUAAGUUGGGCACUCUAAGUUGACUGCCGGUGACAAACCGGAGGAAGGUGGGGAUGACGUCAAAUCAUCAUGCCCCUUAUGAUUUGGGCUACACACGUGCUACAAUGGACAAUACAAAGGGCAGCGAAACCGCGAGGUCAAGCAAAUCCCAUAAAGUUGUUCUCAGUUCGGAUUGUAGUCUGCAACUCGACUACAUGAAGCUGGAAUCGCUAGUAAUCGUAGAUCAGCAUGCUACGGUGAAUACGUUCCCGGGUCUUGUACACACCGCCCGUCACACCACGAGAGUUUGUAACACCCGAAGCCGGUGGAGUAACCAUUUGGAGCUAGCCGUCGAAGGUGGGACAAAUGAUUGGGGUGAAGUCGUAACAAGGUAGCCGUAAUCG